rnacentral:rRNA from 1 species
UGGGGAAUAUUGGGCAAUGGGCGAAAGCCUGACCCAGCAACGCCGCGUGAAGUAUGAAGGCCUUCGGGUUGUAAACUUCUUUGAUCAGGGAAGAAACAAAUGACGGUACCUGAAAAACAAGCCACGGCUAACUACGUGCCAGCAGCCGCGGUAAUACGUAGGUGGCGAGCGUUAUCCGGAUUUACUGGGCGUAAAGGGCGUGUAGGCGGCUAGAUAAGUGUGAUGUUUAAAUCCAAGGCUUAACCUUGGGGUUCAUUACAAACUGUUUAGCUUGAGUGCUGGAGAGGAUAGUGGAAUUCCUAGUGUAGCGGUAAAAUGCGUAGAUAUUAGGAGGAACACCGGUGGCGAAGGCGGCUAUCUGGACAGUAACUGACGCUGAGGCGCGAAAGCGUGGGGAGCAAACAGG